CUUGCUACCUGGAAUAUAUCAUCAUAUUUAGUACAAAUAGAAAUACGUGCAGUAGUCCAAUAUUGGUCGUUUUUCCAACAGAAAGAAACAAACAUCAUAUUUUAAUCUUGAAUAUUUGCUGAUAAUAAAUAUGAAGAAAAAAAUAUGUUGCAAGAUAGUGAAGACCUUGCAUUACAUAUCUAUCUUUGUUUUGGUUUAACAACUAUGUUGCUUAAGUGCAGGUUUGAUACGAUAGUAUGAGUUAUAGGGCCUGGUGAAUUUCAUAUCCAUAUAAUUAUGGGAAAGGUACUCAGUUAGAUUUUACUGGAACGUAUAUCAUAUUCAUUUGAGAGUUCAGACUAGCGCGAGGAUGAAGUAAUGGCAACAUAGAUUGAAAGGAGUGUCAUUUGUAGCAUAGACCUACGAUAGCAGGUGUCACAUAUCUCACUUGUCAUUCUAAAUUCUCCAGGUAUACUACAUUAGAUGUAUUUCAAGAUUUGAAUUGGUACCCCAGCUUGCUUUUAGUCUUAGAA